AGAAUAUCAAUUUGUACCUCUCAAUCCCAGUGAAGGUGUUGAGAGGAUCAGUAAAAGUUAUAUCGUCCCUGUAAAUGUCGUAAUUGAGGUCUCUGGCGAAAAUUAGAGGAAGGUCCUCGCGAAGAGUUCUGACAGCGAGGCCGAGAUUGACAUAGAAGUCGUCUCUUGGCUUAUCGGAGCGGGAAUCGGAGGAACCAGGAGGAGAGGCGAGGUGAGAACCCUGAAGCUGAGGCGAAUGAACACUGGUUAGAGAGAGAGAAGAAGAGGAAGAAGAAGAAG
rnacentral:misc_RNA from 1 species